rnacentral:lncRNA from 1 species
AAAAAAAAAAGGAAUGACAUACUAGAAUGUAUUAGAGGAGCCCGCAGGAUGGGCUUUGUUGUCCAGCCUGGCCACCUGAGUGUGAUCCUCGAGAAAAGCAUGUUAGACAGAGAGGCGCUAUGUACCACACUAUGUGGGUCUGUUGCUCAUGUGUGCAUGCACAGACAAACAAACACACACACACACACACACACACACACCCCACAAUAAAAUUUUUAAAAAGGAACAACACAGUAGAAUAUGGAAACAUAUUCAAAAGCUACAGAUGAUUAGAAUAAAGCAUGUAGCAAAUCCAUGAACAGCCCAGAUGAAAGGUAAAAUGAAAGCCAUAUUGCUUCCUAAGGGUUUCUCUGAGAAAUGACUCUCAGGACCUCCCUAGAAUGGCAAGAAACAUGAACACUUGCAAGGGCCGCGUUCCUGGUUUAGUCCCCAUCACCCAGGGAACCCUCAACGUGACACUAAAACAAACUUGUUCCUCCACGCCAGCAUCUUACAGACAAUAAUACAGGAAACUGAAAGAUUAAAUAUCAUUAUUCCAUAUUUCUUUUGGAAUAUAUUUCUCCUGCCUGAAUUUUAAUUUACCUCUCUGGGAAACUAACACUUCAAAAAGAUUUUGCUUAUAUCUAAUAAGCUUAAGGACUUCCCAGUAAAAUUUUCAGAGGCAAUAAGGAAUUAUGAUUUUAGUAUCUUACCUUACCUUUCAUCCCAGUUCAAAUGAUUCCCUCAAAUUAUGAAGAUAUGUAUUGCCAUUUUUUUGGAGUCUAAUUAAGAGCUCAACUAUAAUUUCAAUUGUACACCACAAGUUUUAAAGAAUCCUCUAAUUACAGUUACAAAAAACAGUUUUUACCUUGAUGUUGGGAUUUUUUAAGGCAAAUCCUCUGUACCAGCCUGCGGAGAAAUAAUCACGAUUACAUUUUAAUACACAAGGCCUGAUGAUACUAAAGAUAACAAAUGAUAUGUUCUUUGAUGUUGAAAUUUUAAUCUUCAUGUGGCUAUUCUAUGCAUAAAUACAGUGAUUCAGGAUUAAGCUGGGUAACAGAUCGAUUGACCCCCAAGUUUAAGCCUUUUAUUUAUGUCUUGUUUUAUUAAAAUCGAACCAGAAAUUUGUACAGGAAAUAAGGGCUUGGAUCAAAAGCAUUGUGCUUAAAGAAACCCACAGAAAUUUACUAGCUAUAUUUUAUUUUGUUUUAUUUUACAAUAGGGUCUGUGUAGCCUAAGAUGGCCUUGAACUCAGAGUUUUCCUUCCUUGGCCUCCCAAGUGCUGAAAUUAGUUAUGUGCCACCAAGCCCAGCUUAUUCUUUAAUCUGGGGACACUUCUUUACCUCCCUGUGCUCCACUUCUCCCCAUUUUAUUAAAAGCCACACUAUGACUAUGGGAAGUCUACACAGAUUUACUGCCACUCUGAAUUCAUGAGAAGCACAGGUUUGAUUGCCAAGCAACAGUGCCUGGCCAGUACAUACAGAAGCCAACCAUCUGCAUCAAGUGCCUGGCCAGCAGGGAUGUAACAGAUGUGUGUAUACACAAGCUCACCACCUGCAUCAGUGCCUGGCUAGCAUGAUGUAGCAGGUGUGUGUAUAUAUAAACUCACACCUGUAACAGUGCCUGGCCAGCAGGGAUGUAGCAGAUGUGUACAUACACAAGCUCACCACUUGUAACAGUGCCUGGCCAGCAGUGGUGUAAUAGAUGUGUGCAGACACAAGCAUGCAACCUAUGAAAAUGCCUGGCCAGCUCUGAUGUAACAGAUAUGUGUAUACACAAGCCCUCCACUUGUCACUAGAUCAGCUUCAUGUUCUAAGAGCUGCUACCUAAAUGGACUUGUAUAUUCUUCAUUGGAAUACUAUUUAAUCAACAUAGUUUGCCACAGUGUCUAUGAUGCUUAAACCCUGAAUGACCCAGAAGAAGUAUUAUAGUACCACUCUUGAGGGAGAUUUCUCUUUUUUCCCAAUUUAAACAAAUGUAAGUAUACUUUUUUUGUAAGUGCAGAAGCUAUUUUUCUUGAUAGGAAAUUAUUUUGGUGUGUAGAAAUAUUCUAUCUAAUUUAAUUCUUUUUGACUAAUUGAAUUCUUAAGAGCAAAUGUUUGAGUUUUAUAUUAUAUUUGUUUUAGUUGCUGACAAUUCUUUCAUAUAUUUGUAUUUGUAUAUAUAUAUGUGUAUGAAUAUAUAUAUAUUUUUACCCACAUCUAACCAUCUGAACAGCAGCCCCAGUAAGGAAGACUGGGCUGGGAGUGAGAAUCUCUGUAUUUCAGGGUUUAUUAGCUUCUCUUAAAAACAGAUGUAAGAAAUGUAUUGAUUUGUAAUAAUUAUUCUAAUAGAAUUGAAAAUGUCUUGAUAAUUUCAGAAAUGCCAGACAGAUCUCUGUAUAAUUAUAUUAUGCAGGAAAAAGUUUAGAUUACUAUAUUUCAUUAAAUAUACACCCUAUUUCUAUGCACCAAUUUAAGGACAAUUUUGUAUUUCUGUACCAAGGAGAAACAGACUGAUUGCAUUCAGUAAUGACAUGAAAAUUCUUAUUAUAUUUGGGGGUUUUUCAAUUACAGUGGACAGAAUAAAUAUCCACAUAUCAUCAGCAUUUAAAACCAGAUUCCAGCUAAAUGUAGCAGCUCCAUUUGUUCAAACACAAUUUAAUGCCUGAUGAAACUUUGUAAGAUAGAACAUUAUCAUAUAAUAAAUCCCUAGAGGAAGGAAGCCUUCUAAAAGGAAGUCGGUAUUUUUCUGAAUAUACUCAUGACAUUAUAGUCAUUUUGUUAAAAAGAAAUGUAGACAGUUCAUCUGGGAUCCUUUCAAGCACUAAAAUUUCAAGGUAGAUUCUAGAACAAGAAUGGAAGCAUCUAAGAAUAGAUGAGGUAUUUUUAAUGAGUUACCUGUUAAAUAAAUUAAUAAUAAUCACACCAGAUCGUACAAUGAAGUCUGCUAUCGUUUCAAAUUCAUUGGAUAAUUUUAUUCCAAAUUUGGAGAAGAAAGAUUACAUCCAGGCUAGAGUGGAGCAGGCCAGCCUGCCUCAGUUUCUUGCUACUCAACUUCAGGGGCACCAUCUUUAGUGCUCCAACCCAAGGUACACCAGUUAUGAGCUUGUCCCUGAGGGCUUGAUCUCCAGGGUUUCAGAAAAACCGUCAUAACUGGAGUUAGUAAUGAAUUCCUAUAAGCAGUGAUUUCUCCAUCUCCACGUAAGGACUAAAAGAUGAUAAAUUUAGGGGAAAAAAUAUAAUCAACUUAAAAAGAAUACUAGCUUUCCCAUAAUCAUACAUCAAAUAUAUAAGGAACAAAUUCUGUCAGAAAUGGUUUGCAAUUUUUGAAAUGAACAGACAGAAUUCUGAGGGGUCAUGAAGAAUGUGUGGGAUAAGAAUCUCUUCCUACGACUUCACGCCAUAAAUAAGGGGGAGGUCACUGACCGUCGCACUUCUCCAGGAUCUGAACAGUGUCUCCGAUCUCCAAUGACAGGCCGUACGGGACGGUGCCUCGAAAGCUGGCAAUAACUGUAAGAAAUGAUAAGAGAAUGUCAGAAGGCAAUCAUGUCAGUUAGAGCAGCUAUACUGCUUACAAUUAAGCAUUAUUGCAUAGGGAAAUGAACAUGAACCUGCUGUCAUUUCACUUUUAUAUGCUUUAAAAGAAAAUCUUUAAGCUCAUAUGUUUUACCAAACUCUUGAUCAAAUAAACACUAUGAAGAUCCAUAGAAAAUAUAAGGAAUACACCCCAGGUAGUAUGUCAAACACCAAGUCUAUUGCCAGCAAUAUAUAAAGGCAGUGAUGUUGCUUGUAAAGGUCCUUGAGGGACUGUGUGCUUUAAAUCCUACUGCAGUCAACUGCUCCUGCUGGGUGCCUAGCUGUGGUAAUUAAUAAGCAGAUGUUACUCAUAAAUGAAGAUGCUAUCUCAUACUCAGUACUAAGCUGGGGUUGCCUAGAGUCCAUACUGUUGGGUUCUUCCCCUGAGUCUGUAAACUUCCAAAGAAAAGGGAUUCUGUCUAUUUGCUGACUCGCAUCCUGAGAGCCACGCCAAGUUUAUGGCAUAGCAGCAGUCGUUCUUGCAGUAAAAUCAGUGGUGACGUUUUAUUUCCCAAUGACCGAGCCAUCAUUAGAGUUAAACACUCAGCCAUAACUCCCACAGUCCUUAGCACUUCAAUACUUGCAAUCGAGGGCACCAUUAAUUAUAGAUUAAUGCUGUAGAUAAACUGGUUUCAGAAACACUGUGCAGAGAGAGUAAGGCAGACUAGGAUGCACCCCCUACAGGAAGACAGGCACCUAAAUUAGUUAUCCCAGGCUACCCCAGGAAUGAUAGGGAGAAUGAAGCUCAGAGAUGUUAAAGAUAUUAAAGAAAAUAAAUCAAAACACCCAGAAAAAGGUUACCACCC